rnacentral:rRNA from 1 species
UAAUACAGAGACUGCAAGCGUUAUUCGGAUUCACUGGGCGUAAAGGGUGCGCAGGCGGCCAAGUGUGUUAGGUGUGAAAGCCCGGGGCUUAACCCCGGAAUUGCACCUAAAACUACAUGGCUAGAGCAUUGGAGAGGGGAGCAGAAUUCACGGUGUAGCAGUGAAAUGCGUAGAUAUCGUGAGGAAUACCAGAGGCGAAGGCGGCUCCCUGGACAAUUGCUGACGCUCAGGCACGAAAGCGUGGGGAGCAAAAGGGAUUAGAUACCCCUGUAGUCCACGCCCUAAACGGUGCACACUAGGUCUUGGAGGAUUCGACCCCUCCAGGGCCCAAGCUAACGCGUUAAGUGUGCCGCCUGAGGACUACGGCCGCAAGGCUA